AUUGAACGCUGGCGGCAUGCCUUACACAUGCAAGUCGAACGGCAGCGGACCUUCGGGUGCCGGCGAGUGGCGAACGGGUGAGUAAUAUAUCGGAACGUACCUUUCAGUGGGGGAUAACGUAGCGAAAGUUACGCUAAUACCGCAUAUUCUGUGAGCAGGAAAGCAGGGGAUCGCAAGACCUUGCGCUGAUUGAGCGGCCGAUAUCAGAUUAGCCUAGUUGGUGAGGUAAAGGCUCACCAAGGCGACGAUCUGUAGCGGGUCUGAGAGGAUGAUCCGCCACACUGGAACUGAGACACGGUCCAGACUCCUACGGGAGGCAGCAGUGGGGAAUUUUGGACAAUGGGCGCAAGCCUGAUCCAGCCAUGCCGCGUGAGUGAAGAAGGCCU
rnacentral:rRNA from 1 species